UGGGGAAUAUUGGACAAUGGGCGAAAGCCUGAUCCAGCAAUACCGAGUGAGUGAUGAAGGCCCUAGGGUUGUAAAGCUCUUUUAGCAAGGAAGAUAAUGACGUUACUUGCAGAAAAAGCCCCGGCUAACUCCGUGCCAGCAGCCGCGGUAAGACGGAGGGGGCUGGCGUUGUUCGGAAUUACUGGGCGUAAAGAGUGCGUAGGCGGUUUAGUAAGUUGGAAGUGAAAGCCCGGGGCUUAACCUCGGAAUUGCUUUCAAAACUACUAAUCUAGAGUGUAGUAGGGGAUGAUGGAAUUCCUAGUGUAGAGGUGAAAUUCUUAGAUAUUAGGAGGAACACCGGUGGCGAAGGCGGUCAUCUGGGCUACAACUGACGCUGAUGCACGAAAGCGUGGGGAGCAAACA
rnacentral:rRNA from 1 species